UCGCCGCGGUAAUACGGAGGGUGCAAGCGUUAAUCGGAAUUACUGGGCGUAAAGCGUGCGUAGGCGGUUCGUUAAGUCUGUUGUGAAAGCCCCGGGCUCAACCUGGGAAUGGCAAUGGAUACUGGCGAGCUAGAGUGUGUCAGAGGAUGGUGGAAUUCCCGGUGUAGCGGUGAAAUGCGUAGAGAUCGGGAGGAACAUCAGUGGCGAAGGCGGCCAUCUGGGACAACACUGACGCUGAGGCACGAAAGCGUGGGGAGCAAACAGGAUUAGAUACCCCUGUAGUCCCUGUCUCUUAUACACA
rnacentral:rRNA from 1 species